UCACACUGAGCGUUGAAACUUCAGUUCAGACGGUUCAAGACCAGCGGGAGACUACAUCAUACGAAGCAGCCCUCCUGAGGGAAAACGGUGCUGAAGGUGCAGAGAUACAACCCCCUAACGCACCUCAAACUGAUCUGCCAGCAACCUCUUCAGACGCCCCUGAUACGAUCCGGAGAAGACGAUCCUUAAGAAAGAGGAAAAGACCCAGUCUCAUUACACUAAGUUCUACCCUCGAGAUAGUCCAGAGAGUAAUUCCGAAGCUCGAGACAAAAGUGAUUACGAUUCGAAGGCUUGCAACGGAAUCUGCAUCGAUUAUUCAACAAAUUCCAUACUGCGGCCGCAGAGGAACCUACUACAGUCGGAGAGCUGAGGA